rnacentral:rRNA from 1 species
GAUGAACGCUGGCGGCGUGCCUAAUACAUGCAAGUCGAGCGAACGGACGAGAAGCUUGCUUCUCUGAUGUUAGCGGCGGACGGGUGAGUAACACGUGGAUAACCUACCUAUAAGACUGGGAUAACUUCGGGAAACCGGAGCUAAUACCGGAUAAUAUUUUGAACCGCAUGGUUCAAAAGUGAAAGACAGUCUUGCUGUCACUUAUAGAUGGAUCCGCGCUGCAUUAGCUAGUUGGUAAGGUAACGGCUUACCAAGGCAACGAUGCAUAGCCGACCUGAGAGGGUGAUCGGCCACACUGGAACUGAGACACGGUCCAGACUCCUACGGGAGGCAGCAGUAGGGAAUCUUCCGCAAAGGGCGAAAGCCUGACGGAGCAACGCCGCGUGAGUGAUGAAGGUCUUCGGAUCGUAAAACUCUGUUAUUAGGGAAGAACAUAUGUGUAAGUAACUGUGCACAUCUUGACGGUACCUAAUCAGAAAGCCACGGCUAACUACGUG